rnacentral:rRNA from 1 species
GAUGAACGCUGGCGGCGUGCCUAAUACAUGCAAGUCGAGCGAACGGGCGAGAAGCUUGCUUCUCUGAUGUUAGCGGCGGACGGGUGAGUAACACGUGAAUAACCUACCUAUAAGACUGGGAUAACUUCGGGAAACCGGAGCUAAUACCGGAUAAUAUUUUGAACCGCAUGGUUCAAAAGUGAAAGACGGUCUUGCUGUCACUUAUAGAUGGAUCCGCGCUGCAUUAGCUAGUUGGUAAGGUAACGGCUUACCAAGGCAACGAUGCAUAGCCGACCUGAGAGGGUGAUCGGCCACACUGGAACUGAGACACGGUCCAGACUCCUACGGGAGGCAGCAGUAGGGAAUCUUCCGCAAUGGGCGAAAGCCUGACGGAGCAACGCCGCGUGAGUGAUGAAGGUCUUCGGAUCGUAAAACUCUGUUAUUAGGGAAGAACAUAUGUGUAAGUAACUGUGCACAUCUUGACGGUACCUAAUCAGAAAGCCACGGCUAACUACGUG